rnacentral:rRNA from 1 species
GACGUAGGAUGCGAGCGUUGUCCGGAUUUAUUGGGCGUAAAGAGUUCGUAGGUGGUUUGUUAAGUCUGAUGUUAAAGACUGAGGCUCAACCUCGGGAGUGCAUUGGAUACUGGCAGACUGGAGUGUAGUAGAGGCAAGCGGAAUUCCCAGUGUAGCGGUGAAAUGCGUAGAUAUUGGGAAGAACACCAGUGGCGUAAGCGGCUUGCUGGGCUAUAACUGACACUGAGGAACGAAAGCCAGGGGAGCGAAUGGG